AACGUAGGACGCAAGCGUUAUCCGGAAUUACUGGGCGUAAAGGGCGCGUAGGCGGCCGCCUAAGUCAGACGUGAAAUCCCUCGGCUCAACCGGGGAACUGCGUCUGAUACUGGGUGGCUUGAAUUCGGGAGAGGGAUGCGGAAUUCCAGGUGUAGCGGUGAAAUGCGUAGAUAUCUGGAGGAACACCGGUGGCGAAGGCGGCAUCCUGGACCGAGAUUGACGCUGAGGCGCGAAAGCCAGGGGAGCAAACGGG
rnacentral:rRNA from 1 species